AACGAACGCUGGCGGCAUGCCUAAUACAUGCAAGUCGAACGAUCACUUCGGUGGUAGUGGCGCACGGGUGCGUAACGCGUGGGAAUCUGCCCUUGGGUUCGGAAUAACAGUUGGAAACGACUGCUAAUACCGGAUGAUGACGUAAGUCCAAAGAUUUAUCGCCCAAGGAUGAGCCCGCGUAGGAUUAGCUAGUUGGUGGGGUAAAKGCCUACCAAGGCGACGAUCCUUAGCUGGUCUGAGAGGAUGAUCAGCCACACUGGGACUGAGACACGGCCCAGACUCCUACGGGAGGCAGCAGUAGGGAAUAUUGGACAAUGGGGGCAACCCUGAUCCAGCAAUGCCGCGUGAGUGAUGAAGGCCUUAGGGUUGUAAAGCUCUUUUACCCGAGAUGAU
rnacentral:rRNA from 1 species